rnacentral:tRNA from 1 species
AGGGGAGUAGCUCAAUUGGUAGAGCGGCGGUCUCCAAAACCGUAGGUUGCGGGUUCGAUCCCUGUCUCCCCUG